rnacentral:rRNA from 1 species
AUUGAACGCUGGCGGCAGGCCUAACACAUGCAAGUCGAACGAGUGGCGCAGGUGUGUGUAGUGUCUGGGAAACUCCCCGAUGGAGGGGGGUCACUACUGGAAACGGUAGCAAAUACCGCAUCCCAUCGGAUGUGCCUAGAUGGGAUUAGCUAGUAGGUGGGGUAACGGCUCACCUAGGAGACGAUCCCUAGCUGGGCUGAGAGGAUGACCAGCCACAAUGGAACUGAGACACGGUCCAGACUCCUACGGGAGGCAGCAGUGGGGAAUAUUGCACAAUGGGCGCAAGCCUGAUGCAGCCAUGCCGCGUGUAUGAAGAAGGCCUUCGGGUUGUAAAGUACUUUCAGCGAGGAGGCGUUACUCGCAGAAGAAGCACCGGCUAACUCCGUGCCAGCAGCCGCGGUAAUUC